CAAAAACAUUGCCUAUUGAAUUUAUAGUAGGUCCAUCCUGCCCAGUGAUAAUUUUAUUCAACGGCCGCGGUACCCUGACCGUGCAAAGGUAGCAUAAUCAUUUGCCUUUUAAUUGGAGGCUAGUAUGAACGGACAAACGAGAAUUUAGCUGUCUCACAGAAACGCCUAAAAUCUAAUAAUCAGGUGAAGAAGCCUGAAUAAUAAUAAAGGACAAGAAGACCCUAUUGAGCUCUACUGCUAACAAUCCGUAUUCAUAACAUCUAUAAAUUAGGCCAACUUAGCAGUUUGGUUGGGGCGACCUUUGAUCACUUAAAACAUCUUAUAAUUACCCGGGCCACUCCCCGCUAAAUCCCGCAUGGAAAUUGAAUUAGCUACCAUAGGGAUAACAGGCUAAUCUUACUAGAGAGCUCAAAUUGACAGUAAGGGUUGGCACCUCGAUGUUGGCUUAGUGUAUCCCUUAAGUGCAGCAGCUUAAAACGGUCGGUUUGUUCAACCGUUAAAACACUACGUGAUCUGAGUUCAGACCGGA
rnacentral:rRNA from 1 species